GAAAUGUACAAGUUGUAAGACAUCAUUUUUCAAUCUGCAAGCAUCCAAUCCUACCGGCUGUGAAGCUUGCAAUUGCAAUUCCAAUGGAUCCACAGCGUUGUCAAAGGGGGCAUGUGAUGAUACCGGUCAGUGUGUUUGCAAGGAAGGUGUGACUGGUCUGAAGUGUUCUGUUUGUGAGGAUGGAUUGUAUAUAAUGUCUUCUGAUGCUGG